GACGAACGCUGGCGGCGUGCUUAACACAUGCAAGUCGAGCGGAAAGGCCUCUUCGGGGGUACUCGAGCGGCGCACGGGUGCGUAACACGUGGAUAAUCUGCCUCAGGGUUGAGGAUAACCUUCCGAAAGGUUGGCUAAUACUCGGUAAGCUUACGGUGACUUCGGUCGCUGUGAGAAAACUAGACCUCUAUUUAUAAGUUUAGGCCCAGAGAUGAGUCCGCGGCCCAUCAGCUAGUUGGCGGGGUAACGGCCCACCAAGGCUACGACGGGUAGCUGGUCUGAGAGGACGAUCAGCCACACUGGAACUGAGACACGGUCCAGACUCCUACGGGAGGCAGCAGUGGGGAAUUUUCCACAAUGGGCGAAAGCCUGAUGGAGCAACGCCGCGUGUGUGAUGAAGGUCUUCGGAUCGUAAAGCACUUUCGACUGGGACGAAAAACCUUUGGCUAACAUCCAGGGGCCUGACGGUACCAGGAGAAGAAGCACCGGCUAACUCUGUGCCAGCAGCCGCAGUAACAC
rnacentral:rRNA from 1 species